rnacentral:piRNA from 1 species
UCUUCUUCAUUUCUAGAUCCCUGGCUACCUU